rnacentral:lncRNA from 1 species
GAGGAUUCCACAACUAACAAUAUAAUCAUUUAAACAAGAAAAGGAUGCACAAGCUCUACCGAUUCGAGAUAUGCAAUAAAUUGGAGAAUCCUUCAUAUUCUAUCAUCAACAUUCAUGAGUGUCAAAUUGAGAAAAAUCCUUUCAAUAAUAACACAUUUACUUUCAUAACAUGAUCACAUUAGCUCCAUUGAAUGUCCAUUCAUAAAAAUGUCAUGUAACACUUAAAUUUCUCAUACUAUGCCUUCAAGGCCAUGGUCACAAUGUAACAAACAAGUAAACAAUUCUAAGUCAACAUUAGCUCCUCAUGUCUUGCCUUUAAGGCCAUGGUCACAAUACAUUCCAUAAUUAAACACCUCCACCAUAAGUGGAUCAAACCAAGC